CAAACGAGGUAAACAGUUUAGAGCGGCAAUAGGCGCAUUGAGUUAAAGCAGAAUGUUUUACAUUUGUCACAGCACGGCUAUUCCUUGGCAUUUGAUGAUCCGAAAUUGCAAAACGCUAAUGUUCUUCAUUCGUCAUGCCAUAAUUUUUCAAGUUAUAUUUAGCCCAGCUAUGGUCAUUCGAAGCCGUCAAGUCGAAGGUGACGAAGAUAUCCUUGUCCAACAGACUAUAAACUCAAGCACUGCCUGGGAGUUUAUUGCAGGAAACGGGAGCAAUAUGUACGUGCUCUACCGGAACUUCAACACGAGUAACUCAUCAUG
rnacentral:lncRNA from 1 species